GAGGAAGCUUGCUCCCGCUGGACUGCGCAGCAGGCCCUGGCUCUAUGGGGCACUUCGCACCCCAGCGGGAGCAAGCUCCCUU
rnacentral:misc_RNA from 1 species